rnacentral:lncRNA from 1 species
UGGGCUAUAUUGUGAUAAAUUAACUAGUUAAAAGGCUUGACAUUUUCUGGCAGUGGUAAUUUCCAUGAAAUCUUUGUUAUGGAAGAUAUUAUCCCCCCAUUGCGAAGGAACAGGUAAUAAUUUUUAACUGUAAACUUGUUGGAGGAGCACCACUUCAAUUCUACCAUAUCAGCUACCAAUGGGAGUGUUACUAGGUUGAGAAGAUCUAUCAUGUCUUGGGUUAGGAUCAACA